AGUAUCAAAAUUAAAAGCAAACUCGAGUUUUACUCUUGGAAAUCAAGUUCAGGGGAAAACUUGCGACGCCGCCUUGCGUUCCUAAUUUCCGCAACGCCUAAUGGGCAAUUCAAAGAAAUUAAAAGAGCAUUGGCCCAAAACCUAGAUUUUGAGACCAGCGAAAGAAUGCUGAGAGGAAAGCCGUGGAUGUCCAUAAAUGAAGCCUCGAGGCUUGACUCCGAUAUUGGCUGCAUUUUCCUUAUCUUUUUUGGCCUUGUGAGUGAAAACAAGGAGACGAAUGAGGUUUGCGUAGAAGUGGACGGUAAAGACACUACAAUAUCUGAAAUACUGCGAGAGUUUAUCGGGCCAAAAAACGACCAGUGGAUAGGAAAACCUAAAAUAUUAUUCCUUGUGAAUCAGGAAACGAGCUCGUCUGACGCCAUCGGAAAAAUGCAGUCUAACAUGGAAAUAUCUGCAACAAAUCACAGUGGAUGGUUAGUCCUAGUUUUGCACAACAAAGAUGGACUUCAAAAGCUGAUCGAAAUCUUCAAGGGCCAAGAGCUGAAAAAGGAAAAAAGUCUUCAAGAACUGCUCGCAAGUCUUCUUAUUUCCGAAUCAAAAGAAAAUAAGGAUUUUCUUAACUCGACGCUCCAGUAUCCUCUCAAUUUUCCAGACUGGCCAAAGUCUUUUGUUGAACUUAGCUUUUCAGUUACAAAUUCUCAAAAAAAUAAAGAAAAUUACGACUGCCUCGACAGCUUGGUGAAGGAAUCAGCAACAAAAAACAAUAUUUGUCUCUUGAGUUCAGUCGCAGGAACGGGAAAGACGACAAUCCUCAGGGAAAUGGCUUUUCAACUCGGGAAACUAGAUCCGGAUUUACAAAUUUUACGUAUUUCACUCCCGAGAGUUUCGUUUGGCCCUUUGAAGAGGAAAGUGACCGAGUUUGAUUUUCUCGUGAAUGCCACUCAUAUUUCGAAAGAGGAAAUCUCAAAGCAGAUAGAAAACAAGCAGUGUGUUGUGAUUCUUGAUGGGUUUGAUGAAAACCGUCGUGAAAACCAAGAAAAAGUAUUAAAAGUAAUCGAAGCUCUA